AUAUAUAUAUCACCAAUAUAUUCUUAUACUGGCUGUACAGAUAAAGAGGAGGAAAGUAAACCCAUUUCAUAUACACCCAUACUCACCUCAAUCCUGUGCCUCAUCUGUAUUGUGAAUGGGAAAACAUAG
rnacentral:snoRNA from 1 species